GUGCCAGCCGCCGCGGUAAUACGUAGGGUGCAAGCGUUAAUCGGAAUUACUGGGCGUAAAGCGUGCGCAGGCGGUUUUGUAAGACAGGUGUGAAAUCCCCGGGCUCAACCUGGGAACUGCCUUUGGGACUGCAAAGCUGGAGUGCGGCAGAGGGGGAUGGAAUUCCGCGUGUAGCAGUGAAAUGCGUAGAUAUGCGGAGGAACACCGAUGGCGAAGGCAAUCCCCUGGGCCUGCACUGACGCUCAUGCACGAAAGCGUGGGGAGCAAACAGGAUUGGAUACCCUGGUCGUCCACGCCCUAAACGAUGUCAACUGGUUGUUGGGUCUCUUCUGACUCAGUAACGAAGCUAACGCGUGAAGUUGACCGCCUGGGGAGUACGGCCGCAAGGUUGAAACUUAAAUGAAUUGGCGG
rnacentral:rRNA from 1 species